rnacentral:rRNA from 1 species
GAUGAACGCUAGCGGGAGGCUUAACACAUGCAAGUCGAGGGGUAGUUUACUUCGGUAAAUGAGACCGGCGCACGGGUGCGUAACGCGUAUGCAAUCUACCUUGUACAGGGGGAUAGCCCAGAGAAAUUUGGAUUAAUACCCCAUAGUAUUAUGAUGUGGCAUCACAUUAUUAUUAAAGUUCCAACGGUACAAGAUGAGCAUGCGUCCCAUUAGCUAGUUGGUGUGGUAACGGCAUACCAAGGCAACGAUGGGUAGGGGUCCUGAGAGGGAGAUCCCCCACACUGGUACUGAGACACGGAGCAGACUCCUACGGGAGGCAGCAGUGAGGAAUAUUGGGCAAUGGUCGCAAGACUGACCCAGCCAUGCCGCGUGCAGGAUGACGGUCCUAUGGAUUGUAAACUGCUUUUGUACAGGAAGAAACACUGGUACGUGUACCAGCUUGACGGUACUGUAAGAAUAAGGAUCGGCUAACUCCGUGCCAGCAGCCGCGGUAAU